rnacentral:ncRNA from 1 species
AAAGACUUAGUCCUAACCUUACCGUUAAUUCUUGCUAGACAUAUACAUGCAAGUAUCUGCACUCCAGUGUGAAUGCCCUCCACGCCCUACUAGGGUAUGAGGAGCGGGUAUCAGGCACACCCAUUAGACUGUAGCCCAAGACGCCUUGCUUAGCCACACCCCCACGGGUACUCAGCAGUAAUUAACAUUAAGCAAUAAGUGUAAACUUGACUUAGUUAUAGCAACACUAAGGGUCGGUAAAUCUUGUGCCAGCCACCGCGGUCACACAAGAGACCCAAAUUAACAGUAACGCGGCGUAAAGAGUGGCACCACGUUAUCCUAGCAACUAAGAUCGAAAUGCAGCUGAGCUGUCAUAAGCCUAGGAUGCACUUAAGACCGCCCUUAAGACGAUCUUAGCCCUCAGGACCAAUUGAACUCCACGAAAGCUAGGGUACAAACUGGGAUUAGAUACCCCACUAUGCCUAGCCCUAAAUCUUGAUACUUUUUUCACUAAAGUAUCCGCCUGAGAACUACGAGCACAAACGCUUAAAACUCUAAGGACUUGGCGGUGCCUUAAACCCACCUAGAGGAGCCUGUUCUAUAACCGAUAACCCACGAUACACCCAACCACCUCUUGCCAAAGCAGCCUACAUACCGCCGUCGCCAGUCCACCUUCCUUGAGAGUAUAACAGUGGACAUAAUAGCCUCAACCUCGCUAACAAGACAGGUCAAGGUAUAGCUUAUGGGGUGGAAGAAAUGGGCUACAUUUUCUAGCAUAGAAAACUUUCACGGAAGUGGGUGUGAAAUCGCCUACAGAAGGCGGAUUUAGCAGUAAAGAGAGAUAAUAGAGCUCUCUUUAAGUCGGCUCUGGGGCACGUACAUACCGCCCGUCACCCUCCUCACAAGCUACAAACCUUUAUAACUAAUACCCAAAUUAGCUGAAGAUGAGGUAAGUCGUAACAAGGUAAGUGUACCGGAAGGUGCACU